UGCAAUGUGGCUCAGUGGUAGAGCGCUUGCCUGGUUUGCACGAGGUGCUGGGUUCGAUCCCCAGUACUGCAA
rfam:Heterocephalus glaber contig189447, whole genome shotgun sequence.